rnacentral:rRNA from 1 species
UACGUAGGGACCGAGCGUUGUCCGGAAUCAUUGGGCGUAAAGAGCGUGUAGGCGGCCACUUAAGUCCUGCGUGAAAUCUUGCGGCUCAACCGCAAGCGGUCGUGGGAAACUGGGUGGCUAGAGUGCGGGAGAGGAGAGUGGAAUUCCUGGUGUAGCGGUGGAAUGCGCAGAUAUCAGGAGGAACACCGGUGGCGAAGGCGGUUCUCUGGGAAUGUCCUGACGCUGAGGAGCGAAAGUGUGGGGAGCGAACAGG